GAUGUAUGCAUACUUCUCCACGAUUUUCUUUUAAAGCCAUAAAGCCACCUUGCAAGUGCCACUCCAACAUUCCAGCAGCAACCUGUGUCUCCAGGGUACAGAGAGAAAGGCUUCAAAGCCAGGGGCAAUGUGGCAUCACUAUAGUACUCUCAGCAUUGUGAAGACUAUAUUCCUGUGUGGAUCUGAUCCCAAGUCAGCGAAGUCCUGAUUCUACACUGCGACACACUAAGACCUGUGCAUGUGACUCGGUGUGGGCAUAAAGUUGGAAGUCUUUUAGAGUAUCCUGAUAUCCAAAUGAAAACAGUUUUCAAACAUAGGUGUCACUAUUUCACUGUGCUUGUUGGCCUAUUUAUCACUAUGUAGUGCUGGCUUUGCUUAUCAGUAUGUACUUGCUGUUUCACUCAGACUUUCCAAUGGAAGACUCUGCACCUGGUCAGGUUCAAAUUUGUCAUUUAAAUGUCUGGAAUAAAUGCAGAUUUCCAAAUCUGACAUGUAA